CUAACUACAAUUGCAAACUGAUUAAUUGCUUGAUUUUUGUUGAUUGAAAUUCUGUCACCAUAUGUUUGAUACAAUUCCCGUGGUGUAAUUCUGAGUUUCUUUCCAGCAACAGCAUUAACAAUUUUUCUUGCAAUUAUCAUUAAUAUUGGUGGCUCUUGUGAGUGUUCUUGUGGCUGCAGAAUAGCUUCAAGUGGCUCUACAUUGUUGGUAGCAUUCUAGAAAGAAGAUUGGUGAGGAUAAAGUUGGAUUGAAGGAUGGUUU
rnacentral:lncRNA from 1 species